UACAGGACAUCACCUUCGGUGUAAAUAUAUAAUAGAGUAGAUUGCUUAAUUUCAACUAAAAAUCGUCAAAACCAUGAAGUUGAUAAUCAUUUUUGCGGCGAUUGCGAUGUUGAUGACAACUGUAGUUACCGGGGAAUCAAUAGGCCCCAAAGCAUUGUAAAUAUUAGUAGGACCAGGAAAAUAAACCUGACCGUUGGAAGGCGAACAAAUACAAAAUUAUAAAAUUGUGUAAAUUUUGAAUGUAUCAAUAAAACAUCAAAAUUAAUCACAACUAA